rnacentral:rRNA from 1 species
CCUACGGGAGGCAGCAGUGAGGAAUAUUGGUCAAUGGGCGCGAGCCUGAACCAGCCAAGCAGCGUGAAGGAUGACUGCCCUACGGGUUGUAAACGUCUUUUUUAAAGGAACAAAGACUGGUACGUGUGCCCUGAUGAUUGUACUUGAAGAAUAAGGAUCGGCUAACUCCGUGCCAGCAGCCGCGGUAAUACGGAGGAUCCGAGCGUUAUCCGGAUUUAUUGGGUAUAAAGGGGGCGUAGAGGGGUAGUUAAGUCAGUAGUGAAAGUCGGCGGCUCAACCGUCAGAUGCCUAUUGAUACUGGCAGUCUUGAGUACGGUAGAGGUAGGCGGAAUGCGUGGUGUAGCGGUGAAAUGCUUAGAUAUCACGAAGAACUCCGAUUGCGAAGGCAGCUUACU